UGGUGUAUACUGAAGGAACUUGAAGAUAUGAUCAUAGGAAUAAACUUUAAAUUUUAACACAAUUUGUUUUUUUUCCUAAAAUGGGAAAAAAUGUAUAAGCAUCAGAAAUCCAUGCUAUAUUAAGUGUAUAUAAAUCAAAAUUUCAAAAAUGAUUCUUCAGGUCAUUUGUAACCAGUUAGGAAACAAAGCAUGGGUUUCAUAAAGAUAAGAACUUAUCUUAGAAAAUAGCUAUUAUACUUUCAGAACAAAAGACACGUUGAUAUAGGGAUGGGCCACUCUUGGGUUUCAAAAAACAGCUUUAAAGAACUUAGGAGACCAAGCCCCUCAAAUACAUUAACAUUCAGCGACUUAAUACCGAAUG
rnacentral:lncRNA from 1 species